AUUGAACGCUGGCGGCAGGCCUAACACAUGCAAGUCGAACGGUAGCACAGAGAGCUUGCUCUCGGGUGACGAGUGGCGGACGGGUGAGUAACGUCUGGGAAACUGCCUGAUGGAGGGGGAUAACUACUGGAAACGGUAGCUAAUACCGCAUAACGUCGCAAGACCAAAGUGGGGGACCUUCGGGCCUCACACCAUCGGAUGUGCCCAGAUGGGAUUAGCUAGUAGGUGGGGUAAUGGCUCACCUAGGCGACGAUCCCUAGCUGGUCUGAGAGGAUGACCAGCCACACUGGAACUGAGACACGGUCCAGACUCCUACGGGAGGCAGCAGUGGGGAAUAUUGCACAAUGGGCGCAAGCCUGAUGCAGCCAUGCCGCGUGUAUGAAGAAGGCCUUCGGGUUGUAAAGUACUUUCAGCGGGGAGGAAGGCGGUGAAGUUAAUAACUUCACCGAUUGACGUUACCCGCAGAAGAAGCACCGGCUAACUCCGUGCCAGCAGCCGCCGCUG
rnacentral:rRNA from 1 species